GUUCUCACAAUGGGGCCAUAGGCCUCAGUUCAUCAAGAGAACUGAGCCUUUGAGGAUUUGCUAGGAAACUCUUGACUGAAGGGACGCCGGUGGAUGAAUCACUUUGUUUCUUAUGGAAAAGAUGAAAACUUUCUUUGUGGUUAUCUUGGCUACUGACUAUUUCUUACAUAUUUCUGGUAACAAUCCAUAUGCGGGCACCUAUGAGACCCAUACCAAUACUGCAAGGAAGAGAGAACUGAGAUUAUUUCCUAUUUACACAGAAAAAGAAAAGACUCCAAAGUUAAUUGCUUUCCUAAUGUCCUAUAAGCUAUGCACCUCUCUCUUAAAAUUCGAUACGAUGGAAAAUGCGGAAAGGCCAAAAGUCCUGAACAGAAUUUGAUUUUCCUUCCUUCAUCAUAAGUGAACUCAUUUGAAUUAAGCAUCAUCCUUCCUUCAAAAAGCAAAAUUCAUUAUAUUACCUUAUUUUUUAAAGAUCAAUAAAUUUUAUUCUACAGAAAGCUCUUCUUUAACUCAAGACAUAUUUAAUGACAUGCGCCAGAGUUGUGUUUGGUUCUAGAAAUGCAGAGUUGAGUAGGAAGUGACCCCUGACUUUGUGCAACUCACUGUCUGAUAGGCUAAUUGGACAACUCUUUCAUUUAUUCAGUAAAUAUUCUUUAAGGACUUACAAGACUGAGAGACUUGGAUAGACUCUGUGUCCUCAGUAGUAAUCAAAACAGGUCUGUGCCCUUGUGCAGUUUACAAUCCAGCGAGGGAACAAGAAAACAUAUGAUUAUUAAAAAAUGUGAUAAAAU
rnacentral:lncRNA from 1 species